rnacentral:rRNA from 1 species
UACACUCCUGCGGGAGGCAGCAGUGGGGAAUUUUGGACAAUGGGCGAAAGCCUGAUCCAGCAAUGCCGCGUGAGUGAAGAAGGCCUUCGGGUUGUAAAGCUCUUUUGUCAGGGAAGAAACGGUGAGAGCUAAUAUCUUUUGCUAAUGACGGUACCUGAAGAAUAAGCACCGGCUAACUACGUGCCAGCAGCCGCGGUAAUACGUAGGGUGCAAGCGUUAAUCGGAAUUACUGGGCGUAAAGCGUGCGCAGGCGGUUUUGUAAGUCUGAUGUGAAAUCCCCGGGCUCAACCUGGGAAUGGCAUUGGAGACUGCAAGGCUAGAAUCUGGCAGAGGGGGGUAGAAUUCCACGUGUAGCAGUGAAAUGCGUAGAUAUGUGGAGGAACACCGAUGGCGAAGGCAGCCCCCUGGGUCAAGAUUGACGCUCAUGCACGAAAGCGUGGGGAGCAAACAGGAUUAGAUACCCUUGUAGUCCCAUGAU